CGUAGGUGGCAAGCGUUGUCCGGAGUUAUUGGGCGUAAAGCGCGCGCAGGCGGUCCUUUAAGUCUGAUGUGAAAGCCCACGGCUCAACCGUGGAGGGUCAUUGGAAACUGGGGGACUUGAGUACAGGAGAGAAGAGUGGAAUUCCACGUGUAGCGGUGAAAUGCGUAGAGAUGUGGAGGAACACCAGUGGCGAAGGCGACUCUUUGGCCUGUAACUGACGCUGAGGCGCGAAAGCGUGGGGAGCAAACAGGAUUAGAUACCCUGGUAGUCCACGCCGUAAACGAUGAGUGCUAAGUGUUAGAGGGUUUCCGCCCUUUAGUGCUGCAGCAAACGCAUUAAGCACUCCGCCUGGGGAGUACGGCCGCAAGGCUG
rnacentral:rRNA from 1 species